UUGUGCAGGAUUACGUAGGGUGGCCCCAGAAAAAAGGCGGAGGAGGUGGACAUUGCCAGUUCUCUUUCAUCUUUCUCUCAUCACUUGGGUCUGAUUUAUGUAGGAGGUGCCCCUGGGGCCACCUGGUUGGAGGAUUCAUCCUCUAGUCCGAGGGCACUAAUCAUAUCACCUGAGACUCUCAGCUCUGCUCCCUGAGCCUCUGAUUGGUCUGUUCCCUGGGAAAACCAAGAGGUUGUGGGCAAACCCAAAACCGGACUAGUCAGUGAAGAAAACAAAGAAGAAGGAACAGGCAGAAGAUCGUCCUAGGAAAGAUGAAAUCUCUUUAUUUGGAAGAAACUACAGCAGCAAAAAGGCUCAUCAAGUCAAAACCUGAGACUGUGGUGAAACAGCAACAUGGAGAUAAGGAAAUUACCCGUGCUCUCUCGAGUUCCCUGGGCCUCGGUUCAAUAGACUCAGCAGUGUGUUGAAUGCCAGCUGUGUGACUUCAGACAAAUCACCUGAUCUCUCUGGACUUCAAAUUCCUUAUCUGUAAAGGGAAGACAAUAGGAUUAUUGUGUAGGUCAAAGAUAAUAUGCUGAGGGACUUUGCACAGACAAAGGAAUGGAGGCUCAGAGAAGUUAAGUAACAUGCUCAAAACUAUGCAUCUAGAGAGUGAAACAACUACGAUUCAGCCUAGAGUUUUUUAUGUUAAAUUUAGGCUUUCAUUUACUCCGUACAAGCUGCCCCCUCAUGAUGAAAACUGAAUUCUUCGUGGUAUCCUGGGACCAAGAAUUGUGACUGCCAAAAACACACACUUCGCCUAUUCCUCUUUGAAGCACUGAUUGCCUUCUGCCUCACACUAUAAUUACUUAUGCAUAUGUAAUAGAUUUUCUG